rnacentral:rRNA from 1 species
GUUUGAUCCUGGCUCAGGACGAACGCUGGCGGCGUGCCUAAUACAUGCAAGUCGAACGAACUCUGGUAUUGAUUGGUGCUUGCAUCAUGAUUUACAUUUGAGUGAGUGGCGAACUGGUGAGUAACACGUGGGAAACCUGCCCAGAAGCGGGGGAUAACACCUGGAAACAGAUGCUAAUACCGCAUAACAACUUGGACCGCAUGGUCCGAGUUUGAAAGAUGGCUUCGGCUAUCACUUUUGGAUGGUCCCGCGGCGUAUUAGCUAGAUGGUGGGGUAACGGCUCACCAUGGCAAUGAUACGUAGCCGACCUGAGAGGGUAAUCGGCCACAUUGGGACUGAGACACGGCCCAAACUCCUACGGGAGGCAGCAGUAGGGAAUCUUCCACAAUGGACGAAAGUCUGAUGGAGCAACGCCGCGUGAGUGAAGAAGGGUUUCGGCUCGUAAAACUCUGUUGUUAAAGAAGAACAUAUCUGAGAGUAACUGUUCAGGUAUUGACGGUAUUUAACCAGAAAGCCACGGCUAACUACGUGCCAGCAGCCGCGGUAAUACGUAGGUGGCAAGCGUUGUCCGGAUUUAUUGGGCGUAAAGCGAGCGCAGGCGGUUUUUUAAGUCUGAUGUGAAAGCCUUCGGCUCAACCGAAGAAGUGCAUCGGAAACUGGGAAACUUGAGUGCAGAAGAGGACAGUGGAACUCCAUGUGUAGCGGUGAAAUGCGUAGAUAUAUGGAAGAACACCAGUGGCGAAGGCGGCUGUCUGGUCUGUAACUGACGCUGAGGCUCGAAAGUAUGGGUAGCAAACAGGAUUAGAUACCCUGGUAGUCCAUACCGUAAACGAUGAAUGCUAAGUGUUGGAGGGUUUCCGCCCUUCAGUGCUGCAGCUAACGCAUUAAGCAUUCCGCCUGGGGAGUACGGCCGCAAGGCUGAAACUCAAAGGAAUUGACGGGGGCCCGCACAAGCGGUGGAGCAUGUGGUUUAAUUCGAAGCUACGCGAAGAACCUUACCAGGUCUUGACAUACUAUGCAAAUCUAAGAGAUUAGACGUUCCCUUCGGGGACAUGGAUACAGGUGGUGCAUGGUUGUCGUCAGCUCGUGUCGUGAGAUGUUGGGUUAAGUCCCGCAACGAGCGCAACCCUUAUUAUCAGUUGCCAGCAUUAAGUUGGGCACUCUGGUGAGACUGCCGGUGACAAACCGGAGGAAGGUGGGGAUGACGUCAAAUCAUCAUGCCCCUUAUGACCUGGGCUACACACGUGCUACAAUGGAUGGUACAACGAGUUGCGAACUCGCGAGAGUAAGCUAAUCUCUUAAAGCCAUUCUCAGUUCGGAUUGUAGGCUGCAACUCGCCUACAUGAAGUCGGAAUCGCUAGUAAUCGCGGAUCAGCAUGCCGCGGUGAAUACGUUCCCGGGCCUUGUACACACCGCCCGUCACACCAUGAGAGUUUGUAACACCCAAAGUCGGUGGGGUAACCUUUUAGGAACCAGCCGC